rnacentral:rRNA from 1 species
UACGGGGGGAGCAAGCGUUGUUCGGAUUUACUGGGCGUAAAGGGCGUGUAGGCGGCCACCGCUAGUCGACUGUGAAAUCUCCGGGCUUAACUCGGAAAGGUCAGCCGAUACUGCGGGGCUAGAGUGCAGAAGGGGCAACUGGAAUUCUCGGUGUAGCGGUGAAAUGCGUAGAUAUCGAGAGGAACACCUGCGGCGAAGGCGGGUUGCUGGGCUGACACUGACGCUGAAACGCGAAAGCGAGGGGAGCGAACGGG